CCACACACACUAAGUGUGUGUGUGUUCGUACGACCAGGAAGGGGAAAACAAGGGUUCCACCCUUAUUCAAGCUAAAAACCCCAAAUUGAGGAUCAAUUCAAGACCAAAUCAAUGCAUGAACGCGUAUAAACGAUCACCAAGUCAAGAGGAUCGAAAGUUUGACGUUUGACGAGCUAGGUGAAAGCUUGGGAAGAAAACGGGUCAAACGAAUCAAGAAUGAAGAAAAAGCAUGAUCCGGGUGCAAGGUGAAUGUCGAGAGUCCCAGAUGAAGAUCAAGUGGCGAGCAAGAACCGAACACACAUUAAAUGAAGCUUCCGCGUCAAAUCUUGACUUGUUUGCAAAAAAAAAAAUGAAUUAUGUAAACAUUUAUAAACAUGUACUUUUUGAAAUGUUGUAAACUAUGGGAAUGUUAGCAUGACAAGUUGAUUUUGUAAAGUCACA